GACGAACGCUGGCGGCGUGCUUAACACAUGCAAGUCGAACGAUGAAGAAGAGAAACGCGAACUUCGGUUCAAAUUUCACUUCGGAUUAGUGGCAGACGGGUGAGUAACGCGUGAGCAACCUACCUCUUACAAAGGGAUAGCCUCGGGAAACCGUGAUUAAUACCAUAUGACACAUUCAUAAGGCAUCUUAAGAAUGUUAAAGCUACGGCGGUAAGAGAUGGGCUCGCGUCCCAUUAGCUAGUUGGUGAGGUAACGGCCCACCAAGGCGACGAUGGGUAACCGGCCUGAGAGGGUGAACGGUCACAGUGGAACUGAGACACGGUCCAAACUCCUACGGGAGGCAGCAGUGGGGAAUAUUGCACAAUGGAGGGAACUCUGAUGCAGCGACGCCGCGUGAGCGAUGAAGGAAUUCGUUUCGUAAAGCUCUGUUCUAUGGGAAGAAAAGGACUGUACCAUAGGAGAAAGCCCCGGCUAAAUACGUG
rnacentral:rRNA from 1 species